rnacentral:rRNA from 1 species
ACAGAUCGUUCAGAGUUUGAUCCUGGCUCAGAAUGAACGCUGGCGGCAGGCCUAACACAUGCAAGUCGAACGGGCACUUCGGUGCUAGUGGCGGACGGGUGAGUAACGCGUGGGAACAUGCCCCUUGGUACGGAAUAGCCCCGGGAAACUGGGAGUAAUACCGUAUGUGGUCGAGAGACGAAAGAUUUAUCGCCAAGGGAUUGGCCCGCGUUGGAUUAGGUAGUUGGUGGGGUAAUGGCCUACCAAGCCGACGAUCCAUAGCUGGUUUGAGAGGAUGAUCAGCCACACUGGGACUGAGACACGGCCCAG